GACGAACGCUGGCGGCGUGCUUAACACAUGCAAGUCGAACGGUAAGGCUCCAGCUUGCUGGGGUACACGAGUGGCGAACGGGUGAGUAACACGUGGGUGACCUGCCCUGCACUUCGGGAUAAGCCUGGGAAACUGGGUCUAAUACCGGAUAGGACCGCACCGUGAGGGUGUGGUGGAAAGUUUUUUCGGUGUGGGAUGGGCCCGCGGCCUAUCAGCUUGUUGGUGGGGUAAUGGCCUACCAAGGCGGCGACGGGUAGCCGGCCUGAGCGGGUGGACGGCCACAUUGGGACUGAGACACGGCCCAGACUCCUACGGGAGGCAGCAGUGGGGAAUAUUGCACAAUGGGCGGAAGCCUGAUGCAGCGACGCCGCGUGGGGGAUGACGGCCUUCGGGUUGUAAACUCCUUUCACCAUCGACGAAGGGUUUCUGACGGUAGAUGGAGAAGAAGCACCGGCUAACUACGUG
rnacentral:rRNA from 1 species